GACGUAGGGCGCGAGCGUUGUCCGGAUUUAUUGGGCGUAAAGAGCUCGUAGGCGGCUUGUCGCGUCGACCGUGAAAACUUGGGGCUCAACCCCAAGCCUGCGGUCGAUACGGGCAGGCUAGAGUUCGGUAGGGGAGACUGGAAUUCCUGGUGUAGCGGUGAAAUGCGCAGAUAUCAGGAGGAACACCGGUGGCGAAGGCGGGCCUCUGGGCCGAUACUGACGCUGAGGAGCGAAAGCGUGGGGAGCGAACAGG
rnacentral:rRNA from 1 species